GCGGAUGUGGUGCAGUUGGUAGCACGUCAGCUUCCCAAGCUGAAGAUCGCGGGUUCGAGCCCCGUCAUCCGCUCCA
rnacentral:tRNA from 2 species